GCCAGGAUAACAGGUUCUGGGCACACAGAGCCCUCCUGGGCCAGAGGGAGGAGAGUCGGAGCAGAGGCCACUGUCCUGCCCCGGCUGACACCUGGUGGCAUUCCUCCCCUCACCCAGACCUGGCUUCAGAGCUGCCCCUGGGUCUCGCCCCCUUCCAGACCCUGCCCGUCCGUACCUGCCUGCACACUGUUUGUUUAUGCAGAGCAGGCAGCAGGUGGGGAGGAAGAGGGCGUGAGACCUGCCAGCAGAUCUGCUCCCGGAGCCCGCCCCUGGGAGGCGCUUCCUGGGACAGGGGACUCAGUUUCAGCGCAGAAGCAGUCCCAGGAAAUCCGCAGGGGCUGGCCUCUCUGCUCAUCCCCGUGAGCCUCAACUCACUCAUCUCUAAGACGAGACUGAAGGCCAGAGUUGGGAUGCAGCGGGUUAGGCCGGGUCAGGAUGCCGGCAUCCCUGUGAGCGCUGGGUCGAGUCCCGGCUGCUCCACUUCCGAUCCAGCUCCCUGCUAAUGUGCCUGGGAAAGCAGGGGAUAACGGCCCAAGUGCUUGGGCCCCUGCACCCACCCACAUGGGAGACCCAGAUGGAGCCCCUGGCUCCUGGCUUCAACCUGGCCCAGCCCAGGCCAUUGCAGCCAUUUUGAGGAAUGAAUCAGCAGGUGGAAGACCUCUCUCUCUCUCUCUCUCUCUCUCUUUCUCUCUCUCUCCCUCUCUGUCCAUCACUCUACUCUGCUUUCACAUACGUAAACCCAUCGCUAAAGAGGAAUAAAGCAGAGAGGGCCGCCGUGUGUCGGAGGCGCCAAGGGCACAGCCCAGGAACGCCGCUUGCCCGCGGGGAGCCCUCAGCAAGUUCGCUCUGCCUGGAGGGAGCGCAGGGCUUCAACCCUGAAUUCCUCACCUCCCUGCGCCAGGACCUCUGCAAACCAACCACAAGCGGGUCUGCAACUGAGAAAUCAUCACACCUGCCUGUUCUGCUACUGCCUGAAUGUCUUUUGAUUGACAAACUUGAAGCAAUGAACACGGCCGAGACGGUGCCACGGCGGGCCCUGGGUUGGGCAGCUACCAGGGAUUCAGACCUGAAGGGCGAUCCCUGACCUUGAGGAAGUCGCAGAGGGCGAAACAGGCAAUUAUCAAGCUAUGAAGUCAGUGUUAUGGAGCAGGUAAGCACAGGGCACCAUGGAAACACAGAGGCGGGGCACCCGGGCUGGACGGGCUGGGCUGCAGAUGAGUGUGUGUGUGUGUGUGUGUGUGUGUGUGUCUGGGAGGGCUUCACGGCAGAGGUGGCUCUAGCUCUGGGUCUCAUCAGUCUGGAAGUGGAGUGGGUGAGCGGACGGCAGCUCGGGGAGAGGCUUGGAAGGGAGAACGCAGGUGUUGAACAACAGGCCUGCUUGGGUGUGGCAGGCGGGGCGUCGGGGCCACUGGAGGUUCCCGGACUGCGGGGAAGUCAACACUGGAUCAGCUGGGCGAGUGUCUCCCGCUCUGAGGAUCACGCUCAAAAUAAACCACAACAAGCCCCCUUC